rnacentral:rRNA from 1 species
GACGAACGCUGGCGGCGUGCUUAACACAUGCAAGUCGAACGGAAAGGCCCUGCUUUUGUGGGGUGCUCGAGUGGCGAACGGGUGAGUAACACGUGAGUAACCUGCCCUUGACUUUGGGAUAACUUCAGGAAACUGGGGCUAAUACCGGAUAGGAGCUCCUGCUGCAUGGUGGGGGUUGGAAAGCUUCGGCGGUUGGGGAUGGACUCGCGGCUUAUCAGCUUGUUGGUGGGUAGUGGCUUACCAAGGCUUUGACGGGUAGCCGGCCUGAGAGGGUGACCGGCCACAUUGGGACUGAGAUACGGCCCAGACUCCUACGGGAGGCAGCAGUGGGGAAUAUUGCACAAUGGGCGGAAGCCUGAUGCAGCAACGCCGCGUGCGGGAUGACGGCCUUCGGGUUGUAAACCGCUUUCGCCUGUGACGAAGCGUGAGUGACGGUAAUGGGUAAAGAAGCACCGGCUAACUACGUG